rnacentral:rRNA from 1 species
CGCAUCUGUGCAUGCAGCAUAUCAAUAAGCGGAGGAAAAGAAACUAACAAGGAUUCCCCUAGUAACGGCGAGUGAAGCGGGAAGAGCUCAAAUUUGAAAUCUUAAAGGGUUUCCCUUUACGAAUUGUAGUUUAAAGAAGUGUUUUCUGUUGAGGUUUUGGUAAAAGUUCUUUGGGAUAGGACAUCAUAGAGGGUGAGAAUCCCGUAUUUGACCUUUACUUUCAACUUUGUGAUACACUUUCAAAGAGUCGGAUUGUUUGAGGAAUGCAGUCCAAAAUGGGUGGUAAAUUUCAUCUAAAGCUAAAUAUUGGCGAGAGACCGAUAGCGAACAAGUACCGUGAGGGAAAGAUGAAAAGAACUUUGAAAAGAGAGUUAAACAGUACGUGAAAUUGUCAAAAGGGAAGCGUUUGACACCAGUGUUGUUUUUCUGAAAAUCAAUUAAAGAACUGUUUAUGCUAAGUUGUUUAGACUUUAUCAGCUAACUGCUUAGUUUUGAGCUUUUCUUUAAUGCACUUUUCAGUUAACAAGUCAACAUCAAUUUCUUUUGCUGUAAAAAAGCUUGAGGAAGGUGGCUUGAGAUUCGUCUAAGUGUUUAUAGCCUCUUGCCUAUGCAGUCGGAGAGAUUGAGGUCUGCAGCGUAGAUCCUCCGGGGCUAAAUGCAUUUGUGCUAAGUUAUAGCAUUUUAUAGACAACUUGUUGACUAUGAUUUGUCUUGUAGCUUACUCGCUUAUGUUAUUUUACCUACGCUUAGGAUGUUGAAUCUGUGCGAGACUAC